UACAAAGUGCCUGAUUAAAAGGGUUAUUUUGAUAAGAUAAGCAUAGUACUAAAUUAGUACUCUUUGUAA
rnacentral:tRNA from 1 species